rnacentral:lncRNA from 1 species
AAAAAAGAAGGAAAUGGUCCCAGAAUAGUUUGGCUUUCAGAGAAGCCCAAGAAUCAAUGGCACCAGAGACACAGGAUCAUGAGGGAGUGGGCCAAGAAGGGGCUGUGGAAAAGCUGGUGAUGCUCUUUACUUCUGACUUGAAAAUCCUCGCUGCUCUUGAUGAGGAGGAGCCACGUGGCCGUGGGGUCUUUCAGCCUACAUUUUUUUCAAGUCUCACCCAGUUGUGGGGCAAAGGUUCCAUGGAGCCCCUUUCAUCUCACCACCUGAGAACUGUGACCAAUGACGUGAAAAGUGCAGGAAACAGAACUAUAACUUUUACGAUUGUAAGUUCCGCCAGACUUAGAAGAUUGGUGCGCGUGAAUUCUGACAACAGCACAGAGGACGUUUCCGUGUUUACUCAGAAUCUGGCAAGACUUUUUCCUUCAUCCUUAGAUGGAGCCUUGGCAAGAAAAUGGAUGAAGGAAAGGGCACUCCAGGAACACUUGCGAGCGGCGGGCCCGGGCUCAGAGAUUUGACUUUGGCCUGGGAAAACCUCAGCACACAGCAGCAGUGUCAGGAAUCCCG